CGGGUAGUGGCGCAGCUUGGUAGCGCGCUUCGUUCGGGACGAAGAGGUCGUGGGUUCAAAUCCCGCCUACCCGA
rnacentral:tRNA from 1 species